rnacentral:rRNA from 1 species
GGUUGCUUGCAACCAAUGAUGGCGACCGGCGCACGGGUGAGUAACGCGUAUCCAACCUACCCAAUACUCAGGCAUAACCCGUUGAAAGACGGACUAAUUCCUGAUGGUAUGUAUUUCUCUCAUGAGUUAUACAUUAAAGAAUUUCGGUAUUGGAUGGGGAUGCGUCUGAUUAGUUUGUUGGUGAGGUAACGGCUCACCAAGACUUCGAUCAGUAGGGGUUCUGAGAGGAAGGUCCCCCACAUUGGAACUGAGACACGGUCCAAACUCCUACGGGAGGCAGCAGUGAGGAAUAUUGGUCAAUGGAUGGAAAUCUGAACCAGCCAAGUAGCGUGCAGGAUGACGGCCCUAUGGGUUGUAAACUGCUUUUAUGUGAGAAUAAAGUUAGGUAUGUAUACUUAUUUGCAUGUAUCACAUGAAUAAGGACCGGCUAAUUCCGUGCCAGCAGCCGCGGUAAUACGGAAGGUCCAAGCGUUAUCCGGAUUUAUUGGGUUUAAAGGGUGCGUAGGCCGUUUGAUAAGCGUGCUGUGAAAUAUAGUGGCUCAACCUCUAUCGUGCAGCGCGAACUGUUGAACUUGAGUGCGUAGUAGGUAGGCGGAAUUCGUGGUGUAGCGGUGAAAUGCUUAGAUAUCACGAAGAACUCCGAUUGCGAAGGCAGCUUACCGUAACGUUACUGACGCUUAAGCACGAAGGUGCGGGUAUCGAACAGGAUUAGAUACCCUGGUAGUCCGCACAGUAAACGAUGGA